rnacentral:rRNA from 1 species
GAUGAACGCUGGCGGCGUGCCUAAUACAUGCAAGUCGAGCGAACAGACGAGGAGCUUGCUCCUCUGACGUUAGCGGCGGACGGGUGAGUAACACGUGGAUAACCUACCUAUAAGACUGGGAUAACUUCGGGAAACCGGAGCUAAUACCGGAUAAUAUAUUGAACCGCAUGGUUCAAUAGUGAAAGACGGUUUUGCUGUCACUUAUAGAUGGAUCCGCGCCGCAUUAGCUAGUUGGUAAGGUAACGGCUUACCAAGGCAACGAUGCGUAGCCGACCUGAGAGGGUGAUCGGCCACACUGGAACUGAGGCACGGUCCAGACUCCUACGGGAGGCAGCAGUAGGGAAUCUUCCGCAAUGGGCGAAAGCCUGACGGAGCAACGCCGCGUGAGUGAUGAAGGUAUUCGGAUCGUAAAACUCUGUUAUUAGGGAAGAACAAAUGUGUAAGUAACUCUGCACGUCUUGACGGUACCUAAUCAGAAAGCCACGGCUAACUACGUG